GUUGUUGCAUCACUGAAGUUGCUAGGUUUGGGUUUGUUAGGGAAAAAAUCCCAACAAAUUAAAGCAGAUCCAAUGUCUCCUUGCCAGCACUUGCUGCAUUUGGCCUUGGUGAAUUAAUUUGAAAAGUAGUGAUGUGUAAUGGUAUGUGACACGUUCUCAUAUCCUUGGGACAGCUGCGUGCACUGGAGAAAUGCAGCUUCCUUCUGAACACAGUGAGAAAGAAGGGGAAAAAGAGAGGGGGGACUGUUACGAACAGCAUUAACAUAGCUUGGGGAUGAGAUCAUCCUCUCCUGUGCACCUGGGAGCUGGGAGGGUUCGUUAAAAAAACUGUUUAGUCAUUUCAGUGAGGUGGAAGAGCACUGCUCUCUUCUGGUAAUGGGCUUGGAGGAGGAGGAGGCAGCAGUGCUGCUAGUCAGGGGCAGCUUGCAGCCCCCGGCAUGCUGCCCAGGAGGUGCAGGUUCCGAUAUAAAUCCUUCCUUAAGUGCCUUCCUGCUUUGUAAAUGCUUCAUUUAAGACAAAACCUGCAAAAUUCCCACACAGCUGACGUUCUAGCCUCCUGGCCUUCCCUGUAUGACUUCUCAGUGAUUUCUAAUGCUGGCUAAAUGACAGGUUCCACCUGCAGCUGGGGACCAGCACCAACAACCAUCACCUGGACUUACCUAAGGAAGGAAUGUGUUCGGUGCACAAAGUAACCCCUGCGUUUCCCUGUAAUUGCAGCAACUGUGUGUUGGACAGAUGGCCAAUCCCCAGCAUCAUGUCAGGGGAGUUCUGCUUAGUUUUCUGUGCACCCAGCUUUAAUUACAGUUCUUCCAGACAUAUUUAUUCUAAGUUAACUGCGACGAGCUGCAUCAGAAUAAGAUGCUCCUUCCCAGCAGCACCUUCUGCUCGCUUCCCCUAGCUGGGAAUGCCUUCCUGAUGCUCCUCAGGCAGACUUAGCUUGAUGUUUUACUCCCAUCUAGUGCUUCUUUAUUAAAACUGCUGGUGCUCUGCGUCUCGCACAGGGCUGAGCAAACGCUAUCUUGUCUCUAACCUGGUGGUGUCUGCUCAGGAUACAUAAACUCUGUUAAACACCAGUGACUCGCAGCCUGCCCUGCCAGGACUGAGCAUCUCACGGCCCGACAGGGCAGGUCAUGAGCCUCACUGGCAGCUGGGGGUCAGCACUGCCCCAGCUGCGUGCCAAGGGAUUGCUGGAGAGGGUUAGACCUCCUUUCCCCAUCGUUUCUUCUAGAGGUGAGGAAGCAAACCUUCCCCAGCCACUGAGCAUUUGAAUGCGUGGGCACCACUGGACGAAGUGAAUAUUGUCACUGAGGAAGGCUUUGGUCUGUGGGACCAGGUCCCAUGGAUUUAGAAUGAAAGUAAGUGUCUUAAGUGUGUCAAAUACUCAGAAACCACAGGCACUUCCGGGAGUCUUAUUCCCUGUCUUUCCUUUUCCUUUCAUGCUGUUUUGGUACCAAGGUGCUUUUUCUUUUUUCCUUUUUUUAAAUUGACUUUUUUUAUGUCUUUCUGUUCCUUCUAAUCAAAAUUCUGACUGAGCUUUCUCUUUGAACUAAUUUAUAUGAUGAAUGUUUUAGGAGUGUGAUGAGGAAAUACGGAUAAUCUUAGGCUUGUGAUUGAAUAUUUACAGGCAUAAUACAGGCUUCAAGCCAUCUCUAAGUGUUUGGCAGCCCAUGCCUGACCGAGGAAAUAAGCACUCAGGUAAGAUGACCAACUCUCAUUAAAAUUUAGUGAAGGUCAUUAGUUUGCUCUUACUUAGUGAAUUUUCCCUGGGUGACAUAUUGCCCAACGGGGUAUGAUAGCAUAAAUAUGGAAUUUUAGUAUGUGUUUUUUGAAGAUGAGCAAAGCAGGCAGAUGGGCAACUGGGGCCUUAACAUCACUAUAGCUAUCUCUCUUGAUUAAACUAUUAGCACAUUAAUUAAAAUUACUCUAGGGAGCACGUGCAUGGGGUGGGAAAACUGGCAAUCAUGCCAGACCACAGGUGGAGGUGCUGAGUUCUGGGCAGAGCAGCUUUAGGUAGGUAAGCACUCAUCUGGUGGGUUCCUGCACCACUGAGUCAGUGGCACCUCUGCCCUUGCCAGCAUUACCUUUUAUCUGCAGCAAGGCUUUGUGGGCUAGGCUGAGUAAUGAGAUAGGUAAUGUGAUGUCCCCACAUUUCUUUAACAUCUCUUCCCAUGGUCACUGACAAACCUUUUUGCUUUUUCUAUUGUUGAGGUUUCAUUAUGAUGAACAUAAACAGUUCCCCAUUUUAUACCCACCACUGAACCUCCCUGAGACAUUCUGCUUUUUAUCCUAAGUUUCUGCGGUCUUUCUAUCCCCUCUGCUGCUCACAUGACCACAUAUUCCAGCUUGGAUUGAAACAACCUCUGUGCUUUUUGCUCAGCUGAUGUUUCCUGCCCAAGGUCCUGGUUUCUGCUUGGUGCUUUGGCCACUUGUGGCACAUCAAAGACCCCUUCUGCUACCAAAAAUUCAUACUCCUGCCUCUGUGUGCUGCCACUGCACUUCCUUAGUUUUAUUCCGCUGCUUCUUCAUGAGUAAUCAAAACCCUUUCCUUAAAUGCUUGGUGUUUUUUUUUUUUUUCUCUGCAUCCUUCCUUAUUUCCCAUUCCUUUCAUCUUCCAAUGGGGUGCAAUCUGCCCUGAUUUUUUCUCCCCUUAGUUCAAACCCCAGUGAAUAUCUAGGCAGAGCUGUUCUCCUCUCUCCACAGUUAGAUGUGGCUUGCUUUCUUCUUCUUUUAUGCUUCUUUCCCUCUCUUCACAGUCAGUUUAACCACAGACGUGAAACCUCCACCGUAUUCCAUUUAGGAGCAGAGACCGUAUUGCCUGAAACCACUGCAAACCUAUAAAGUUCUGUGUUUGUUUAGCAGGAACAAAGAUUAUUUUUGCAAGAAGGUGAUGAAACAGCAAAGUUAGAGUUCUUCCAGCAGCAGAAAAUGCACAAAGGCAGGCAAUGUUUAUAGGCAGAUAAAUAUCAAAUGUAAUGCACUGAUUAAUAUUCCAGCAGGAUGGACUUUUAUGAACUGGCAUGUCAUUCUGUAGGUUUUAUUUUUAACAGAUGGGAAAGGAAAACAACAUUUGGUCUAGAGCCUCUGUCUGUCUGAAUGAGGUUUUGCUCAUUUGGGGGGCUGCAGCUAUUCUAAACAUGGCAACCUGAUUUAAUUAGCUGACUAGGAUCCUGCUUCAUCAGGGUUUUUUUUUUGUGUGUGGAUAAAUGCACUCUAGCAAAACUGACAGUACUCAGAGCUCCAGACUGCUCCCGCCAAGUUUCCAUCUGAAAUGUGCAAACAAAAUAGCUGAUGAAAUAAUAGACAUGCUCACGCUGGAAACCUUUCUCUUUCCUUUUUCAGGGAAAUUGAAUAUCUAUUGAUUUAUCAUUUCUACCAGAUGGGGAUCACAGCAGUAGUUCCUCUGUGUUUUCACAAGCAGUGUCUUUCACAGAGUUUGCUUUGGUUGACAAGUUAUUUUCCUUCUGAUUUGAGUCUGCCUCUAAUGUGUGCUUUUGGGGUAUUGAUUUCACCAGCAGACAAGCUCUGAUUAUGGCUGUUGCAAGGCUGCCAAGGUCCUGCGAUGUGCAGAAGUCUCUUUGAGUUUCUUCUUCCUGAAAGGCCUAGGCUUCUUAGGGCUAGGAUGAAAAGCAUGAGACCCAUUAAGCAAAGAAGCCAAUCCUGAUGCCUAGGAGGGGUUGCAAAGGCAGUUGGAAUAAAAAGUGAUGCCAAGUCCUUUGUGCAUCUUUGUAUGUGGCACAGGUGCCACAUUGACGCAAAAUGUUUGGAGACUGUCUCCCCGAGAAAGUCUGUUGUCUUAAAUGCAAGUUCCAAUUAUAGUACAAACCCAGCAUUAGGGGCUUUUUGUUUUCAAGUGUGUUGUGCUGAGCUAGGCUUAUCAUCAAGAAGACAAGGGAAUUAACCUUGGUUUAUUAAUUUUAUGUAGACAUUAAUAGUUGCAGCAUCAGCAUUUCCUUGAUUUAGCCACGCGGGUACCACACACAGUAUAGAACUGAAGGAAUGCCAUCUGGGAAUUGAGAGCUGCCCAGUUUUUCAGUCUGCCUUCCCAAGGUUAUAUGACAUCAGUCUCUGAUCAACUGCCCUUUCUGUUGGCUAGUUUCCACCUCAAUUGAAAGGGACAUAAGUCCUGGAAAAGUAAAUUCCCCACUGAAACCCUAGAGGGAACCAAUGAGAAAAAGAGAAGAAGGUGUCAGGUCUCACUGAAUCUCCUUGUCAGCAACCGGCAGGACCUCGGGGUGUAUGUUGGCUUGCCAACCUGCUUAUGAAUAUUUCCAGAUUGGCUACCACACAUAUUGCUCCUUCUUGGUGUUGUCAAAGACAAAUGAGAGCAGGCAGUAGGAGUUACUGCACGUAGGAGAAGACAUUUUAUGGGAUAUCUGACACAUCCAAGGGGAAAAAAAAACCAAACAUUUUUGCUGCCCAGGAAACUGUUUGGAUACUUAGCUGGUCUGGCUUGUUUUGUUUUGUUUUUCCCUCAGAAAAAGUCUGAAUUGUACUGCUUCUUUAUUCCACCAUUCUUUCCCCCUGCAUAUUUCAACUAGCUCCCCUCUGCCAUGAAGUGUUCAUGACAGAGAAAGUAAGCCAGCUGACUGAUGGCUGAGGAAGAGAUUUUCUGCAGGUUAUGGGGCCAUGUGAAGGUGAUGACAGUUACAACAGCGCUGAACUGGCAUAGAAGAUCACAGCAGACCCUGGGCUAUGUAGUUGCUCAAUCUAGUAAUUUAAAUUGCCACCUUGCUUCCCACUGUUGCAGUUUUUCAGUGUUCUUGAAAAUUAUCAUUGCAUGUAUUUACAUAUAUUUACACAUAUACAUAGGUUUAUGCCUUGCUCCCUGAACAGGAAGGUUAUUGCUUGGUCUCAUGUUUUUGACAGCAAGUACAUCUGGAAUCCACUUCCAGCUUCUGCACGUAGGUGAUUUCCUUCUAGUAGGACACCGUGUAAUCCACACCUGGUGCAAGGGCAGAGCUAUUCCACAGCUCCAGAGUACAAAAUCCUCCCUGUGCAGAUCAGCUUCUCGGAGGCUGAGGGGCCAUGCGUGUUCUAGUACUCUUCUGUUCAACCAAAGUCUUCAUUUUCUGUCUUUUUAGAAACCUGUUUAGAAACAUCCUUUACCUUAGGAUGAGAAGUCUGCUUUGGUCUCAAGCCCUGUCUCCCAGAGUUAGAGCAGAGCAAUACAGUAUAACCGAAGCUUCGUCUUUUGUGUGCAUAGCAAUGUGGAGUUUAAUUAAAAAUCUCACUUUCUGUUAUUUUUACUGCAGAUGACUGCUUCAGUGGGUGCCCAAGAAAACAGCAGGAUAAACUAACAAAAUGAAGCAGGGCUGUAUAGUGAAAGUGUUUGUUGUCUGGAGGACUCUGGCUUCGCUUGCUGAAGAAGGCUGAAAAUGCAUAAUGAAUGAGACAGGAUACUCCAGAAAGCCAUAAAAUGGUCUCAGAGGGCAUGUUUGAUACCUCUGUGGGGAGCUAGGUUCUGUAUCUUGCUCAGCCACAGGCUUGGUUCCUAUCCCUUGAACAGAAAAGUUUACCAUACCAUGCAUGCUUCUCAGCUUCUCAUUUUUUGUAUGUGCAAGGCAAGGCAGAUGGGACUAUUUUUUUUUUUUAGAGAGGUGUUACCUGCAGAUGAAGUGACCGCAGCUUUGCCUAUGGAAUGAGAUAUAAAAAAGCUCAGAGUUCUAUAAAAUGAACCAGGAUCUAAGCCUGGGUAUUAAAAAUUCAUAGAUGUUUUUCAUAGGUCUAUACUGAAAUUUCCACCGUGUUGGUACUUUGUGUGCAACAUGAGGGCAGUAAUUCCUAAGUGUCUUAGCCAAACUGUAGAGGAAUCCUUAAUAUUUUGGAGGUACAAGAUGUUGCAGUGGAAAUAUUUGUGAGGAAAACACAAAUUUUAUGCUCGAGGAAGCAAGAUUUGGAAGGCAUGAGGUAAAUAAGGAUAAGUAAUGUGUAUUAUAGCAGCAUGCUAAAAAUAAACAGAAAUAUUUAGCCAUUCACUGAGGAAGACAAGGACGUUGUAUAAAAAUAUAGUCUACAAUCAUGUAAUUAAAGCCUGCAUUGUAAUUUGAAGAAGCUGAAGUAAAGGAGCUGUGUGGGUGGCUUUAGCUCUGUUGUCUUUGUCACUGAGUUUCUGCUUUAAUAGGUAGCUUUUCAGAUGUUGUUGGAUAUGUGACAGCGUGGUAAUAACUUCCACAACACAAGUUUAACAGUGCUCUGAAAGCAAAUAUCUUGCUUUGAAACAGGUACAUUUCACUGGACAAAAUCCUCUCUUUCAUCUCAGCACUCCUCUAUUCUCUUCACUCCCUUCUUUGGAGGAAAGAAGGCUCCAGGGAGACCUCAUUGUGGCCUUCCAAUAUUUGAAGGGAGCCUACAAACAAGAGGGGGUAUGUCUGUUUACAAAGGUGGAUAGUCAUAGGACAAGGGGGUUUUAAAGUCUCAGUUUUAAACUGAGAUGGGGGAGGUUUAGCUUAGAUAUUAGGAGGAAGUUUUUCACUCAGAGGAUGGUGACGCACUGGAACAGGUUGUCCAAGGAGGUUGUGGAUGCCCCAUCCCUGAAGGCACUAAAGGCCAGGCUAGUGGUCUGGUAGACCCUGCACAUAGCAGGGGGUUGAAACUAGAUGAUCUUUGAGGUCCUUUUCAACCUAGGCCAUUCUAUGAUUCUCCUGUUGCCACCUCCAUGGGACACCACGCGAGGGCCAGCAGCCUUUGGUUGGCCACAGGUCCUUCUGACACCUGUGACCAGGCAUUGGAGGUUCCCUGCCUCAUCUCUGUAUCUCACAGCUCCUGGAGUGGGCUGUGACAUAAAUUCCUUGCAGGGAGUACGGUGUGAUGAGGAAGCUGUGCUGGCCACCCCACUCAGCCCCACUGCCAUACCGUCUGUGGCAACAAUGGUGUGUGGUUGCAGGAGGCAGUGAUGCUGAAUGCAGGAAACCUGACGAUGGUAUAUUUUACAGCAUGGCAGCUGUAAUGCAGGAUCGUAAGAAAUGUUUGCAUUUUGAAAUGCUUUAUCUUCCAUUUAAGGGAUAGUGUUUCUGGCAGGGAAAGAAUAUAUAAGGGUAUUAAAUGGCUUUCUUUGCAGGCAAUUAAACAAGGAAGACGAUCAAAGACAUUUAAAUAAUUGUAACAGAUGUUUAUUGCCUGAUGCAGUUUACUGCCUCCUAUUAUUUCUGUUACAUACAGGAGAGAAGAACACAUGGCAAACUGUACCGCAAAAGAAAUUCUUUACUGGCUUGUGAGGAACGUGGCUGCUUCUCUGCCUUCUUAAUUGUAUCAUGUUGAGAACAAGUCAGUAAUAAGUAGUGUUUGGAGGGCAGAGAAGUGGCUUACUGCCUGGAGGAGCAGCAGCAAGUGGUGUGCAAAGACAUGGGGUUGGUGGUAAACACCUUUGAGACAACAGACUGCUGUGGGAUUGCUUCAAGAGUGAUGCUCAGCUCACUCACAUUAGGAAUUUCAGUUCCUCCUGAAGUUAUGCAGUUAGUACUGAGAGGGACAUCCUGGCUCAGGACAAAAGUGUUGGUGGCACUGUAAUCCUCAGUGACAUCUGGGAAUGGCCUCAGGUGGGCAACUAGGCAUUAAUAAAAGGCAAGCAUGUGACAACUCCCCCAGAUACUCCUCAAACAUUUUUGUUGUAGGGCCAGAUGUGUUUUCUUUGUCGUUAAUAACAUAAUAACAUACUUUAGUACUGUGUGUUUAAUUCUAUGUAUUUAAAAACAGAUUUUUCUUGCCUUGAAUUUAAGUGUUCAGAAUAGCCUAUGUAGGACAGUAAGUACCCUAGAGGAACCCAUGAGCUUUUCAUCACCAAUUAAAAGAAAGGGAUGUUUGUUUCCCUAAACAAUAACAAAAAAUUCUAACAAUGAUACUCCUCCCAAUCCCAAAUCCCCAUACAAAAGCCUAUAAACAUUCAAAAUCUAGGCUAGUGUCCCUCCAAUUGUUUUAUCCUUGGCUUUGACUAAAAUCUGAGGCUUUUUCAGCAAACAUCUCAUAUUUUCAAAUUCAGUAAUGACUUCAUACAUCCUACUAAUAGAAAAAAAAGACUUAUUGCCAUCAUUUCAGAACACAACUGGAAUAUUCAAUAUUCCCCAUCUCCCUUCCUCCCUCUUGCUGAAAGAGGAAGACUUCAGGGAGACUCUUUCUCAGAAGGAAUAACAAUUAUUUGAUGUGUUAUUGUUCCUCUACAGAUCACACCUCUCAUCUGGGGCAGAUCUUUUCUCCUCCUUGUGUCCUGACAUCAUCAUAGGCAGCAAAGUCUGCAUUAAAGACAUGAACUAAUGACACAGGCACUGCACUCUAAGAGGUGGUUCCUUCAUGGGCAAUCCACAUUGAGGUGAUGCACAGCAGGGAAGGGAGCUGGCUCCAGCACCCAUCAGGAACUGCUGAAAGGUACUCUUGCUCCUGGGUUGUCAACACAAGAUUUAGUGUGAGUUCCUGAAAGUGUCUUAACAGGCAUAGAAAGCACUGAUUCCCUCAAGUCUGCAGAAACAUGAUGCACAGCAACCAUUAGCACUGGCUUACAUUGCAGAACAAAUUCUGUGGCAGGAUGAGCCAGGUGCUAUGAUAGCUAUGAAAUAGCUAUGAAAUAGCCAUGAUGCUAUUUCAUCUGAGUGAGAGAGGGAAUGAAUUUGGGUCCUGGGGGAGCAUAGAAAGUGGAUGUUAUGCAACUCCUGAAAGAAUCAAGAGCUGUGGCUGUAGCAACUGCCAAUAAAUAUACUCAAGUACUACUCUGCUGGGAAUAUCUACAUGAGGCAUGAAGUGUGCUUACACCAAAUUACCUGAGGACCGCAUGAUGUCAGUCACAAGGAAAACAAUGCUGUGGGUCUUGUAGAUGGUCCUCAGCCUUGCUAUGACAAGAAGGUGCUGAGUGUUUGAAUGGCUCCCAUCCACUGUGAUUGCAUGAAGACAGGUGGGUCUCUGGCCAUGCCUACUCUCAACCUGCAUGGCAUGUUGUCUGACACUGGUAAGGAGUAUCUCAAAUCUACAUGAGGCAAUCAACAUCAUUUUGUGGACAAUUUUACAUUUGAAAGCAUCUCUCUGGAGCUGUUUGUCUUCAAAACAGAGAGCCCAGGAGUGUUUAUUGCCUGUAGGCUUGGCCUGGGAGAAAAUGAAACCAGCUUGAUACUGGAGACUGGGAAAUGAUACCAUUGUAUCCUGUGAAGGCAAGAUGCAAGCUGGCAUCUCCCUGCUUCCUCUCAUCUGUAACUCCAGAAGAACUGUCUUGGCCUCUUUGGACUAAAAUGUUUCAAUGCUUUCAGCUCAGAGCAGCAUUUGGAGACCAAGUUUUUCUUCUGGUAAAACAUAAACUACAGCACAGAAAUAGAAGUAAAACAUUUGUUUGCUCAGCUCUAGUAACGUGGUGCCGAGGCAUGCCCGCAGGUAUGCUUGUACUGUAAUUGCUGCAGCUGUUAUUCUGAAUUGAAUACUUUUCCUUGCUUGCUCCUCUUCCUCUUCAUGCACUGUAGUUUUAUAAAGCUCAAGUUGCUGAUGAUGUGCUGCACAGGAUGGUUUUGAUGUGUUGUCUGGGCAAGACUAUCUUUGACAGCUACCUUUUACUCUCUGGGAGAAACAGGUCUAGGACGUGAUUCCUGCUCCCUCUUGCUACUCUCUAAGUGUUGUUGCAGGUGAAAAGGAAACAUGCCUCGUACAUGAAGUCACUAAUUUAUUAGUAGCAUAAUAGAAAUCUCAAGUCUAAUCCAAGAAUUAUUAUUGAUGCAGAUCUGGUUAUAGAAAGAGGAGGAAUACUAUGAAGAAAAGUCUCGGUAAUAACAUGGUUCAGGUUGUUACGUGUUUAACAUCCUAGUUUCUACACCUUUUUUUUUGUGCAAUGCUUACACUUCCAGUGGGCCCAUGUAACAUCAAAAUUUACUGUUAAUAUUGCCUUUUGUUUGUGCUAGCUACUAUGUCUCUAUUCUCUUCAUUAUCUAUAAAACUGGUUUUGUCCAGCUCCAGCCUUGCAUUUCUUUAAAUGAACACUGGUGGGUUUUUUAUAACCAUGGGAUCACCAAUGCCAGCCUGUGCUGCUUCUGUUACCAUCCUAGGUCUGUGCUGCUCCUCACCAUGUCCUGUGGCUCUGCCUCACAAGGUUCUCUAUAAUGUAUCAUUAUGUUAGAUUAAUAAAUAUCCCAUUCUUUAUAUAAUCACUGCUUGUUACUGCGGUCUAUAUAAAGUCAUGGUUGCAGCCUGUAAAGAUAAACAAAAGUAUAGUAAGCUAUCUAUAGCCUCCUUGUAAUCUGAAAAAAAACUGCUAUUACAGAUGAACCAAGUAAAAUAAGCUGCAGGUGGGUCAUGAGAAGACCAGGCAUAGCCAGCCUGGAGAGCCUCUGUUGAGGCCUUGCAAGCUUGGUACAGAGUUUGUGGCUUGUUCCUAGCACUGGCAAUACUGAUUUCUUGUGCUCUCAUGAGCUUCCUUAUUUGUUUUGAUGAUGCUUCUGAGUUGCUCUGAUCUAAUGGCACUUGCCCUUUCCUGGUUCAGUAUUUCUUUCACAUUUUUUUUCUGUUACGUGGGGUCUGCAGGAUAAAUACCACUGGGUGGGAGAUGGGUAGGGAAAGGAGGAAGGUGAGCAAAGGAGAAUCAGUCUACCCCAGCAGUGGGAUGAGGAUCAUCAUCUCCACUUCUCAGCACAAACAGAUUUUACUAAACUUCCUGUAAGUUUGUCAAGAGUCCUCUUAGUGGUCUUUGACCUUCUGCUUGUCCUGGCCAUCUUAGAGGGUAGGAGCUCAACAAAAUCUCUCUCCUCUGCUUCCUGACUACUCAAGGCAUCCUUCCUGGAAAGAAUGAAUCACUCCCCAAGUGUCAUAGGAAAGACCAUAAGCUUUCCUUAAAGCUAAAGAAAUUCCAGUGUAAUUUCUCAGCUCCAGUGUGGGUCACUCCCUGGCACACCAGGGGCUUUCUUCAUGAACAGAAACCACUCUGCAUAAAUUGCCAUGGCAGAAAUGGGCCCGAGCAAACAAAGACAAUAUGAAUUUGGCUAAAUAAUGUAGAGACAUAAAUUUAAGGACAAAGGUGAACUGAAAAGCCUCCCAUCAGAGGUUGUCUGCACCUGCCCAUGCCAGCUCCAAAGGGGACUCUGCACCAGGGUGUCUUGCCCUUGGUCAGCUUUUCAGCUACACCCAACAAAAGCCUGUACUUCUGGAGCAUACCAGAGCAUCCCCACUUGCAGCUCCUUACCAAGUGAUAUGUGCAGAUCCCACCUUCGCCAAAUCCACUGCAAAUGCUUCCUGUUGAGACCCAGAGUCUCUCUUGGAGGCCCUGGGCCAGCUCUGGGGCCCACCUCACUGAUUGAACUCAGUGGGGUCACCCUGAGGACCAGCAGAUGGUAUCUGGCUUUUAGCUUCCUUCCAAUCUACCAUUGUCACAACUUGAAAACAAGCUAAAAACCGCUUUUCAUAAUUUCUUUCUUAGGCAAAACUCUUAGCAACAACCUUUUUGUGUGUUAGAAGGCAAUAAUCAAAUCACUCUGGCCUUUUGCUGAAGCAGAACAAAUCCAUGGCUGUGUUCCCAGCUGUAAACAAAGGGAGCUCCUGGUGACUGUAGAUAGACCCCAGAAGAUCUCAGGCUCAUCUCCAUGAGGAACCUCUGCUGGAAGGAAGCCCACUGAAUAAAUUCAGUUAGUUAUUUGGACAGGAUCAGUGCUGAGAUGAGAGUCAUCUAGCUCUGACUUUAGAAGUGAAUUGGAAGUCAACACCUGCAUGAGGUAAAUUUGAAGCAUUAUGCAAACUUACUUGUUUAAGCUCCUGACUAAGAAGCUUUUUUGUUUGCUUCCUUAUUUUUGUCAUGAUUUCCUCUUUGUACCAGAAACAUGCAAAAUGGUGCUGCUUUCUGCAGCUGGCCUCUGCUGUGCCUGACCAGUAGGGCUGCAGGUAGGCAGACAUCUGCUAAGCGCCAUGACACACGAUUGCUGGGGCUGAGCAGCAAGGAGGAGCCCAGGCAGACCAUCCACUAUAGCAGAACUGAAUUUUUGCCAUCCUCAAGAAUCUGGAAAAGCGAAGACCCGGCACUGACUGUGCUUAAGGCAGUGACUUUGUAGUCUUUGUCAGGGUGCUGCCUGAGGCUAGCUUCUGCUUGGGUUACACCAAAGGGAGGAAGGUCUGCAUGAGUUCUUUAGGGACCUCUAAUGAAUAUUAAGGGCUUUAGCAAUAUGAAACUUGCUUGAUUUUUGGGUCUGAGUGAAGUGUUGCUAUGCUGUGGUGAACCUGAACUUUGCUUCCUUGGUCCAAAGGCCUUUCCACGCCUUAAAAUAGAAAGAAGGGAGUUGCGUUCAGUUAAGUGAAAGGCACAUUACCUUGGACCCAUCUUUGUAACAAGCUGCUCCCGAAUUGCAGUCACAAUCAGAUCCAGAGACUAAAGUUGUAGCUGGAGCCUAUUGACAUCAUUAAUGGAAGUGUUUCAUUUAAAGCAGCAAGGAGCUGGCUGGCUGUAGUUGUGAGAAGCACCUCUUGCUGUUAGCAGGCAUUGGUCCUGCUGCGAAGGGGUUAAAUGAAUUCUGCUGGCCCUGGGGAAUGGGGAACUCAUUAUUUUCUUGGAGCAGGGAGGGGAGAGGGGAGGAAAGCUGAAGCCAGAGACAGAGAAAAGCCUUACAAUGAGGCCUCCCAGCUGCCCUUGGUAUAGGGUGCAGGACAAAGGGCUAGGAGGGCUGGGGCAAGCCCCAAGCUGGGCACGCACUGGCAAGUGGGCCCUGGCCAUUCAUGGCUGGCAUGGGGGCUAUGUGCCCAGAGGUGAUGCUGGACAGGUGGUUUGAGUUCAGUUAGCUGAACCUGUUGUCUGCACUUUUGCUGAGUUCUGUGGGAGCACUGGCUGAACCAGCGCCUGCUCAGCCAGCACACUCUGUUGCCUGACCUGCAUGGCCAUGUUGCUCACGUGAGCUGUGGGGUGACUCAGUCAGGGGUGGCAGUGAGAGCUCCAGUCUUGUCUUCUGCUGGGCUGACCCUUGACCUGAGCUUGAAUGGAAAGUGCUUCAUUAAUUUGGACUUCUUUUUUCUCCUAAAAAUUCUGUCACUUUAAAAGAUUUCAUUUCACUAGGAUUCAUAGAAAUCAAGAGGUACAGCUUCCUAACAUCCUUUAUUUUCUGACUUAAUGGCUUUUAGAGCUGCAUUACAGCCAAAAAGAAAGAGGAUGAGAGAAAAGUGUUAAUGUAGGAGCAAAGAAGGUCACUGGGAAACCUGGCUGCACAUUCAGAGAGAGCUUUUCCUGUGUCCAGGGAGUCUAGAGCCAAUGGUGAGUAGAGCAAGUUGCCUGUAGCUGUUGCUUGUAUGUUUGGGAGAAGCAGAGCCUGAUUUCUGGGCCAUAUGGUGAGAGCUCCAGCUUGUUGAGCAUCUCUUUGGAGCAGGCUGUCUACCUGGGCACAUGCUACUUAGUGAAUUUUCCCCUUUAAGCUCAGUGAGCAUUAGCUCCCUGCCCUACAGAUACCCUUCCAUGUGCCUGGGAUGCUGACUGGGGUGGAGCCCCAGUGGGCACCAGAUGAUGACCUCUGAACUUGCACUGAUGGCUGUGUCCAUCACUGACGUUUUUCUUGGAACUCAUGGAAUCAUAGAAUGGCUUGGUUUGGAAGGGACAUCAAAGACCAUUCAGUUUCAACCCCCUGCCAUGGGCAGGGCGUCCACCCACCAGCUCAGGCUGCCCAGAGCCCCAUUCAACAUGGCCUUGAACAUCUCC
ensembl:lncRNA